rnacentral:rRNA from 1 species
UACGGGGGGGGCAAGCGUUGUUCGGAAUUACUGGGCGUAAAGGGCGCGUAGGCGGCCAACUAAGUCGGAUGUGAAAUCCCCAGGCUCAACUUGGGAACUGCAUCCGAUACUGGUCGGCUUGAAUCCGGGAGAGGGAUGCAGAAUUCCAGGUGUAGCGGUGAAAUGCGUAGAUAUCUGGAGGAAUACCGGUGGCGAAGGCGGCAUCCUGGACCGGCAUUGACGCUGAGGCGCGAAAGCUAGGGGAGCAAACGGG